rnacentral:rRNA from 1 species
GAUGAACGCUGGCUGUGUGCCUAAUACAUGCAUGUCGAGCGGGGUUUCUUCGGAAGCCUAGCGGCGAAUGGGUGAGUAACACGUGCUUAAUCUACCCUUUAGAUUGGAAUACCUAAUGGAAACAUUGGCUAAUGCCGGAUACGCAUGGAACCGCAUGGUUCCGUUGUGAAAGGAGCUUUACAGCUCCGCUAAAGGAUGAGGGUGCGGAACAUUAGUUAGUUGGUAGGGUAAUGGCUUACCAAGACUAUGAUGUUUAGCCGGGUCGAGAGACUGAACGGCCACAUUGGGACUGAGAUACGGCCCAAACUCCUACGGGAGGCAGCAGUAGGGAAUAUUCCACAAUGAGCGAAAGCUUGAUGGAGCGACACAGCGUGCACGAUGAAGGUCUUCGGAUUGUAAAGUGCUGUUAUAGGGAAAGAACACUUGGUUGAGGAAAUGCUUCCAAGCUGACGGCACCCUGUCAGAAAGCGAUGGCUAACUAUGUGCCAGCAGCCGCGGUAAUACAUAGGUCGCAAGCGUUAUCCGGAAUUAUUGGGCGUAAAGCGUUCGUAGGCUGUUUAUUAAGUCUGGAGUCAAAUCCCGGGGCUCAACCCCGGCUCGCUUUGGAUACUGGUAAACUAGAGUUAGAUAGAGGUAAGCGGAAUUCCAUGUGAAGCGGUGAAAUGCGUAGAUAUAUGGAAGAACACCAAGGGCGAAGGCAGCUUACUGGGUCUAUACUGACGCUGAGGGACGAAAGCGUGGGGAGCAAACAGGAUUAGAUACCCUGGUAGUCCACGCUGUAAACGAUGAUCAUUAGUCGGUGGAGGAUUCACUGACGCAGCUAACGCAUUAAAUGAUCCGCCUGAGUAGUAUGCUCGCAAGAGUGAAACUUAAAGGAAUUGACGGGGACCCGCACAAGCGGUGGAGCAUGUGGUUUAAUUUGAAGAUACGCGGAGAACCUUACCCACUCUUGACAUCCUUCGCAAAGCUAUAGAGAUAUAGUGGAGGUUAACGGAGUGACAGAUGGUGCAUGGUUGUCGUCAGCUCGUGUCGUGAGAUGUUUGGUCAAGUCCUGCAACGAGCGCAACCCCUAUCUUUAGUUACUAACGAGUCAUGUCGAGGACUCUAGAGAUACUGCCUGGGUAACCGGGAGGAAGGUGGGGAUGACGUCAAAUCAUCAUGCCUCUUACGAGUGGGGCAACACACGUGCUACAAUGGUCGGUACAAAGAGAAGCAAUAUGGCGACAUGGAGCAAAUCUCAAAAAGCCGAUCUCAGUUCGGAUUGGAGUCUGCAAUUCGACUCCAUGAAGUCGGAAUCGCUAGUAAUCGCAGAUCAGCUACGCUGCGGUGAAUACGUUCUCGGGUCU